rnacentral:rRNA from 1 species
UACGUAGGUGGCGAGCGUUGUCCGGAUUUACUGGGCGUAAAGGGCGUGCAGGCGGUUUGUUAAGUGCAGGGUGAAAGCUCCCGGCUCAACUGGGAGAGGUCCUUGCAUACUGGCGAACUCGAGGGAGGCAGAGGAAAGUGGAAUUCCCGGUGUAGUGGUGAUAUGCGUAGAUAUCGGGAGGAACACCUGUGGCGAAGGCGGCUUUCUGGGCCUUACCUGACGCUGAGACGCGAAAGCAUGGGGAGCGAACAGG